CCAAUAUUAAAGGAGCGAUCUCUCAUACCCAUCAGGCCAAGAUACUUGUGAUCUCCAGAGACUAACUCAUCAGCUGAGGAUUGCCUAAGCAUAAUGGCAUUUCUGUCUUAUCUUCAUUCUUUCUUUCACGUCUUCUACCACUUGUGGUGGAGUGGCUCAGGCCCUGACACUGGCUCUCCCACCAGUCAGCACCCACCACGCACUGGGGAGAGCCUUCGGCCUCACCGAUCCCCUGUGCCGCAGUCACACUUCAAGGUUGUGGAGCACAGGCAGCUUCAAGACAACAUUUUCAGAGGAAGACAGCAUAAGUUAAAACCCAUGUUCCCAGGCAGGGCAUUUCUCAAAAGUGGCCAGGGAAAGAAAACUGGGUUGAUUUUUCCUCUCAGGCAACCAACAAGAAUGAUGGAUACCAUGAACGGAUCCCUACAGUAGAGGGCAGGACCAGAUCCUGUCCUCAGCGAGUCCUGCAUCCUUGAGACAAGCGCUCUGCCACGCUUUAAGAAGUAAGAAGCUGGAUUUGAAUUCAGUUUGGUCAUAUGUCAAGCCUUGCUGCCAUAACAGAACAGGAAGGCAAGCCUUUCUCGGUUUGCCCCUCCGUGCUACAUUUUGUGUUGUAUCCACAAAUGUAGUCUCUGUAAUAAAUACAGUCUUGUGGUACAGCUUUCCUAAACAUACUAAGCUGUUCCUAAAAUACUGAUAUGGAGAAAAAUGCAGUCUUUGUGAUGUUUCUUUUCUCCAAUUUUUUUCACACUGCUAGAAGAAGACUGCUACCACCUUAAUUAAAAUGUAUUGCCUACCACAAGACUUCACUAUUUUAAGAUAAAAUUUACAUCUUUUAUUAACUCACCUCACCUAUACACUUAGCUCACAAUGCCUCUCAACGCCCAUCUGCCAUCCGUGUACAGUAAGUCACUUGAUAUUCCACCCACCAAUUUUUCCUAACAACCACUGUGCAAUUAAACUCAACACGUUCUGUUGCGAGGUAAAUUAGGCACACCUGCGGCCAGACUUCAUUUGAACUGCAUCAGAAAAGGACCUAACAAGGUGAGAGCGUACCACAAAGUUAUAGUCCUGUCAAGCAAUUAGGUUUUCACUUCUGGGACAUCCGCACAGUGCAAUUAUGCUACACAUUACAACCUGGCUAAUCUUCUGAACAAAUGUCAUGUCUCAGAGAAGCUAGUAAAAGCAGUUCAUCUGCAAAUGUGUCUGCUCUUAAGCCUCCACCUUAUGCACAUAACAACCUACAGGAGACUUUUUUGUGAUAUGAAAGAUGUUUUUUUCCAUAGGAGAUUUUUAAAACCCUGCAAGUGCCUUUUCAUCCUUUUCACCUCUUCUUAACCUUUUUGAAAGGAGGUGUUGCAGCAAAUAGACUAGAAAGACUUUUGUACUUGAAUUUCAACACUAAGCAAGCAAGAAAGUACUUGGUAUUAUAAGCAUAACUGGUGUCUUUAGUUUGUUUUGAUUCAAAUAUUGUUUGGCUAAAUAAAUAUUUGUUGUGGAAAGCCACCUAAUAUACAUCAUAGAAACAUCAUUAUUAAAGUAUAUCUCCAUGAGACCCUAAACAGAAAUUUCAUUCAUGCAAGUAAACACCAGUAGGAAGUAUAUGUUUCAUUCUUUUUAUUUCAUAUACUGAGUAUGAGAUGCCAGCAUCCUAAACCAAAAUAAGCACUGACAACAUACGAGCAGUCAGACCACUGCUAAGGAAGAAAGCUUGAAUGUGCAGUUACAAAUAGCCUCCGCCCCUUCAUUAAAUAAGAUUUUCCCAACUUCAGAUUCAAAAGGGACAGAAGACACAAUACUUCAUCAGCUUUGCUGGCACAAUUUUUACUCCAAUAAUUCUGUUUCAUUUUCAUCUGUAUUUCAGGUACGCAGUUAGCAUGUUCAAUUAAGCCUACAGAUAAGAUAUUACUAUACUACAAAAUACAGAAUUGUUAUGAUAUGACAAGCCUGCUCUACUUCCAUGGGUAAAAAAACCUCAGAUUUGGAUCAUUAUCUGCAAUUCUGAAGUUCUUUGGAACAGGAGCUGUCCACAGGGGCACAAUGAUGCUCCAGGGUGGGGGCAAGAGAGAGCAGCAGAAGAGAAGACAUUUGAAGUCAAAUGGUAAUUCUCAUCCUUUACUCUA